AGGGGGAUGUUCGCUGCUACUUGCAUCAUUGAUACAGAUGAUGCAAGAUCCACUAUGUCGAAUAAAAUUCUAGGUAGAAUUAUGAUAAUGACAUUGUCUGCCUAUGUGUCUUGACCAAAUUACGUGCCAGCAGUCGCGGUAAUACGUAGAAGACUAGUGUUAUUCAUGUUUAAUCGGUUUAAAGGGUACCUAGACGGUAGAUCAAGCUUUUACAUAUAAAUUAUGUUAAUUAAAGGACUAAUUUGCUAGAGUUACUUACGAGGGGGUAUUAAAGUACUGCUGGUGUAGAGAUGAAAUUCUGUCAUACCUCUUUUCGAAAGAAAAAUCAUGGCACAGGUAUAGGCGAAGGCAUCCCCUUAUGUGAUAACUGACGUUGAGGGACGAAGGCUUUGUGUAACAAACAGGAUUAGAUACCCUAGUAGUUGAAGCAGAAAAUGAUGAAUGUCAUAGAUUAGAUAUAUAAGUUUAUUCUAUAAAUGAAAGUGUAAGCAUUCCACCUCAGGAGUAAUUUGGCAACAUUGGAAUUGAAAUCAUUAGACCGUUUCUGAAACCAGUAGUGAAGUAUGUUGUUUAAUUUGAUGAUCCGCAAAAAACCUUACCACAAUUUGAAUAUUUAUAUUUUUUUUUUAUKGUUUNCUUCUWAAUUUUCUUCUAAUAACWUAUUCAACAUGUAAAAAGAAGAAAKUUAAUAAAGAGGCAAUAAUAUAUUUUUACAAGCGUUGCCCGGCUGACUUCAGUUAAUGACGCNAGACUUUGGUUAGUUCCAUUAAAUUAMCGAAAACCCUUACUUU
rnacentral:rRNA from 1 species